CCCCAUGUUCAAGAAGCUCAUUCUCGUAAGGUGGCGCACACGCGAGACGGUCUGACGACCGUCCGGCUCUUGCCACGUGUGCGCAGUACAAAGGCCCCUCGAGGGCCUUUUUUGUUGCCCGCAA
rnacentral:sRNA from 1 species